UAGAAGUAUGCAACUGCUUUUAUCAGGUCC
rnacentral:piRNA from 1 species